rnacentral:rRNA from 1 species
GACAGAGGAUGCAAGCGUUAUCCGGAAUGAUUGGGCGUAAAGCGUCCGUAGGUGGCUUUUUAAGUCCGCCGUCAAAUCCCAGGGCUCAACCCUGGACAGGCGGUGGAAACUACCAAAGCUGGAGUACGGUAGGGGCAGAGGGAAUUCCGGUGGAGCGGUGAAAUGCGUAGAGGAUCGGAAAGAACACCAACGGCGAAAGCAACUCUGCUGGGCCGACACUGACACUGAGAGACGAAAGCUAGGGGAGCGAAAUGGG